rnacentral:rRNA from 14 species
UCUAGCCAUACCACCUUGAGUAUACCUGAUGUCUGAUUCAGGGAGCUAAGCAAGGUUCAGCCUGGCUAAUACUUGUAUGGCAGAACAUGGAAGAAUAAAAGGUGUAACAGAA